rnacentral:tmRNA from 1 species
GGGGCUGAACUGGAAUCGACAGGAAAGACCAUUGAGUAGUAAGCAUGUCGGAGCAGGUUGGAUCACUCCGUUAAAAAAUGUCCUUCAACCUUUUUAAAUGGCAAUAACAAAUUCGCCAUGGCAGCCUAAUCAAAUUAGAUUAGAAUGCCUUUGUGCCGCAGCAUCUGACGUCCGAUAGACGAUCUGCCGCACAUCAUCAAAUUUCGGACUGGUCGGUGUAUUGCUCUGCUGCACCGAUGAGACAAAAGAGCUAAGGAAAGGAUUAUAGCCCUCUGUUGCGCUUACCCCUUUCCCUACAACCUAAAGCAACUUAUAAGCAUGUAGAAAGCUGCGCAAUACUUUGUCUGGACCGGGGUUCGACUCCCCGCAGCUCCACUU